rnacentral:rRNA from 1 species
UACGUAGGGUGCAAGCGUUGUCCGGAAUUAUUGGGCGUAAAGAGCUCGUAGGCGGUUUGUCGCGUCUGCUGUGAAAACCUAAGGCUCAACCUUGGGCUUGCAGUGGGUACGGGCAGACUAGAGUGCGGUAGGGGUGACUGGAAUUCCUGGUGUAGCGGUGGAAUGCGCAGAUAUCAGGAGGAACACCGAUGGCGAAGGCGGGUCUCUGGGCCGAUACUGAC